UCCGUAGGUGAACCUGCGGAAGGAUCAUUACCACACCUAAAAAACUUUCCACGUGAACCGUUUCAACCCAAUAGUUGGGGGUCUUAUUUGGCGGCGGCUGCUGGCUUAAUUGUUGGCGGCUGCUGCUGAGUGAGCCCUAUCAAAAAAAAGGCGAACGUUUGGGCUUCGGCCUGAUUUAGUAGUCUUUUUUUCUUUUAAACCCAUUCCUUAAUACUGAAUAUACUGUGGGGACGAAAGUCUCUGCUUUUAACUAGAUAGCAACUUUCAGCAGUGGAUGUCUAGGCUCGCACAUCGAUGAAGAACGCUGCGAACUGCGAUCCGUAAUGCGAAUUGCAGGAUUCAGUGAGUCAUCGAAAUUUUGAACGCAUAUUGCACUUCCGGGUUAGUCCUGGAAGUAUGCCUGUAUCAGUGUCCGUACAUUGAACUUGACUUUCUUCCUUCCGUGUAGUCGGUGGAGGAGAUGUCAGAUGUGAAGUGUCUUGCGAUUGGUCUUCGGACCGGCUGCGAGUCCUUUUAAAUGUACUAAACUGAACUUCUCUUUGCUCGAAAAGUGGUGGCGUUGCUGGUUGUGAAGGCUGCUAUUGUGGCAAUUGGCGACUGGUUUGUCUGCUGCGGCGUUAAUGGAAGAGUGUUCGAUUCGUGGUAUGGUUGGCUUCGGCUGAACAAUGCACUUAUUGGACGUUUUUCCUGCUGUGGCGUGAUGGACUGGUGAACCAUAGCUCGGUGGCUUGGCUUUUGAAUCGGCUUUGCUGUUGCGAAGUAGGGUGGCAGCUUCGGUUGUCGAGGGUCGAUCCAUUUGGGAACUUAAUGUGUACUUCGGUAUGCAUCUCAAUUGGGCCUGAUAUCAGGCAAGAUUACCCGCUGAACUUAAGCAUAUCAAUAAGCGGAGGA
rnacentral:rRNA from 1 species